UGAAAAAUGAAAAAUUGAAAAUAACUUCAUGAGCAAUAAAAUUUAACGCGAUAAAAUUUGCUAUUCAAGUGUUGAUUCGAUUAUGCGAUUCAUCAUGUUGAGAAUUAUUCCUUCCUGGUUUUAUUCUAGUGACUGGCGAUGAUUUAUUCAAUUAGAAACACCAGUACCAGUUGGAAUUAUCUUAUUACGGGUAGUAUUUAUUUAUGAAACUGAAUAUAUGAUAAUCUCUUAUUAUUCUGGCUUGUUGUACUUUGUGUGAAAAAUUCUUUCAGGUUAGAUAGAAAAACUGAUGAACGAAGAACGAACAAGACAAGAAACUGUCAAUAGUGCAGUUUACUUCAAUUUGUGAUUAUACGUACAUGCAUAUCUCCGGAGAUGAAAAAUGAACGAGGCUAACGGUAGAUGACGCAUCGGACGAGUAUUGAUGGUGUUUCACUGUUUCAUAUUAUUUUCAAUCGGGAUGAGAAGAACUGAACUUUUUAGUCGAACUACUAGCUUUUCGAACACACAUUCACACGUAUAUAAAUCUUUGUAGACGAUGAAAAAUAAACAAGGCCAACGGUAGAUGGUGAAUCGGACGAGUAUGCCGUCGUUACGUUCUUCUAGAGAAAAUUUCAUGUGGAUGUUUACAAAGCGCAGUUUCAUAUUGAAGUUGAAGAAAGUGUGCAAAAUGAAAAGCACGCUCGCCUACCUUAAAGAUGCUUCAUCUUGCGGAAAAAACACUUACAUUCUUUCUAAAAAUCGUUGAAGUUUUGUCUUCAACCUGUGUGACCUGCGUGAAAGUGAUGAAAAUGUUUGUAUGAGUCUUGGCGGUUCUUUUAAUAUCAUGUAUUUUUUUUAAAACUUUUUUCGCGCAGCGUCUAUGUUUUUUUCCAACUUGACGAUUUUUUUGCUUUUAAAGCAUUUUUUGGGGAUGUCAUUCUUUUUUUUCAAAUUGAUUUUUUUCUCUAGUUUGGCGGGUUUUUUGCUUUUUGAAGUAUCUUGCAGGCAUGAAAUUCGAUCACUUGAAAAGUGACUCAGUCACUAAUUUCACUUGCAAGUCACUUUGUUCACUAUUUCGGCGAAAAAGACCAAAUUUCAAAGAUUUGUCGUGUAAAAAAGGAAAAGUGCAAAAUUUUAGGAAAUGAUCAAUAUUUUUCAUGAUAAUCCUGAAUCGUCAUUUAAAAAAAAAUAAAAAUGAACUAUUCUACAUUGUAAAUGUAAGCCGAUGUGAUUGGAUAGAGUCGAUAUUUUCUAAACCGUACAAAAGUAGAUCGAAAGAUAAGGCAAAAAUUUAUCAUCUGUCAAAAUUUCAAGUGCUAAAGUGACUUUUUCGAUUUUUGGUGAAUUUUUGAAGAUCAAAUUGAGGCUAAAAAUGAGGGAAAAAAUCAAAUGAUUUUGAAGCUUCCAGCUACUCUUUGGAAAUUUCAAUUUUCCAAAAAACGCCGUACAACCUUUCAAAAAGUCGCUGGAGCCUCACUGAGGCUCUAAAACGACUUGAAAUCCACCAGCAGGUGACUUCGUUGCGUAUUGAAAGUAGUUUGCAGAAUGAAUUUCGGCUUUCCAUCUCCAUUGACGAAAUUUUGGAAAAUUUCAAGGUUCAAAAAUCUACUGGAGGCUCCAGUAAUUUUCAAAAGGUCGCUAAAGGUGGAGAGGCUCCAAAACGACUUGAAAUCCACCGGCAGUCGACUUCGUAGCGUAUUGGAUUAGUUUGCAGAAUAAAUGUCGUGAAAUUUUGUGGGAAUUUCGGGUUUCAAAAAUCUGCUGGUUGCUCAAGAACUGCUCAAAACGGGUUGAAACAGUUUCCAAUCGAUUUGGCGUGUCAAAAAUAGGGUAUAUCUCAAAUUUCAGUUUUCUUGGUCAAUUUGGUAAACUUUAGAUUUUUUCCUCAUUUUUGGCCUAAAUUUGAUUUUUAACAAUUCACCAAAAAUCGAAAAAGGCACUUCAGCACUUAAAAUUUUGACAGGUGAAAUUUUUGCCUGAUCUUUUGGUCUACUUUUGUACGUUUUAAAAAAUUUCCUGCAAGUCCAAGUCGCUGGAGGCAGCAGUCGAUUCUGUUGCGUAUUUGCAGAAUAAAUUUUGGCUUUCCAUCUCCAUUUGAUGAAAUAUUAGGAAAUUUCAAGGUUCAAAAAUCUACUGGAAUUGCCAGUAAUUUUCAAAAAGUCGCUGGAGGCUCCGAAACGACUUGAAAUCCACCUGCAGUCGAAUUCGUGGCGUAUCGAAAUUAGUUUGCAGAAUGAAUCUUGGCUUUCCAACAACAUUUGAUAAAAUUUUGUGGGGAUUUCGGGUUUAAAAAUUUGCUGGAGGCUCCAGAAUUGCUCAAAACGGAUUGAAACAGUUUCCAAUCGAUUUGGCGUGUCGAAAAUAGGGUAUAUCCCAAAUUGCAGCUUUCUUGGUCAAUUAGGUAAAAUUUUGAUUUUUUUCCCCUCAUUUUUGGCCUGAAUUUGAUUUUUAGAAAUUCACCAAAAAUCGAAAUAGGCACUUUGGCAUUUGAAAUUCUGGCAGGUGAUGAUGAGAUGAAUCUUGCCUUAUCUUUUGAUCUACCUUUGAAUGGUUUAAAAAAUUUCGUACAAGUCAGCUGUGUUGGAACGCAAAAUCUACGCUUAUCAGUACCUUUGAAAUCAGAAAAAAAAAACUAAUCAUCGGUCAACAUGAAAUACAUUUAAAUAUUCUCAUUUUUCUUUUUCUCAGUUGGUGCUAAAAAUAAAAUUUUAUAUCCAUAAAAAAUGAAGAUUAAAAAAUCAAAAAGGUGGUUAUUAAAAGCAAGAUAGAAUUCUAAAAAUUUCAAGAUCAUAUUUUACGGGGGAGGGGGGGAGGUUAGAACUUGAGAAAUGACAAUGCUGAAAAACGAACGAGCGGUAUUUUUUAACUUUCUGAGUUUUACUUUUUUUUUUUCUGGUGUUCGUAAUUACUUGAUUAUUACACCCGUCGUCGCGCGUCGUGUGAGAUUCUACAUCGAGUUGGUAAGGUCAAGUUUUUUAAUUAGGUCUAAGCAUUUUUUAAUUUCGGAAGGGUCGUCUGGAAUGAAUAGGGAUCUUUCAUCUUUGUAGGGAUAGUCUGUGCUGAUAUAAGGAGGGACAGUGAGACUGAUCGAGAGAAUACGUGCUGUAGAGUUGAUAUGGACAGAUUUUAUCGCAUUUUUUUGAAAAAAUGGAAUUUUUAAAGUCAUUGGAGGCUCCAAAACGACUUGAAACCACCCCCAGUUGACUUAGCAAGUCAAAAUUAAGACGCAGUUUUUAUUUAGUGAAAUCUGCUUAGGCUUCAGAAUUUCUUAAAGCGAGGGUAUAAUCUAUCGCAAAUUUCAGCCUUCUUGUUAAAAUUUUGAUUUUUUUCUCCAUUUUUGGCACUGGGAUUUUCAAAAAUUUACAUACCAAAAAUCGAAAAAUGCACUUUAGUACCUACAAGUUUGGCUGAUGAUACAUUUUUGAUUUUUUGCAUGCUGGUUCGAUCUACAUAUGUGACGCGGCACGACAAAAUCGACCUUCCGUCUGAAAAAAUCAUUUUUCACUUUUUGAUGGAUUUUUGGUCCUCAGACAUUCAAAAUUCAUUUAAGACCUCCCAGAAGUCCCUAUGAUUUUCAUAGCUUCAUAUACAUGGUAAUCCAGUCAAAAGUGUGCUCAUUUUUUUGAUUUUUUUGAUUUUUUUUUGAUUUUUUGAUUAUUUCAACUUUUAAAUCGACCUGCAGGCUAAACAAAGCGUUCUACGAGAAAAAUACAUCGAGCAAAGUUGUAGAGAAUUAAAUUUCCAAAAACCUAUAAGAGGUUUAUUUUUCUCGAAAAUGCAUAGUUUUUCCAUUAUUCUCAAAAAACAAAAACCUCAUGAUGAUUACCAUAAAAUUUCUGUUUUUUGAGAAUAAUGGAAAAACUAUGCAUUUUCGAGAAAAA